CCUACGGGAGGCAGCAGUGAGGAAUAUUGGUCAAUGGUCGGGAGACUGAACCAGCCAAGCCGCGUGAGGGAUGAAGGUACAGAGUAUCGUAAACCUCUUUUGUCAGGGAACAAAGGCGGGGACGUGUCCCCGGAUGAGUGUACCUGAAGAAAAAGCAUCGGCUAACUCCGUGCCAGCAGCCGCGGUAAUACGGAGGAUGCGAGCGUUAUCCGGAUUUAUGGGGUUUAAAGGGUGCGCAGGCGGCCUGUUCAGUCAGCGGUCAAAGCCCGGGGCUCAACCCCGGCCCGCCGUUGAAACUGGCAGUCUCGAGUUGGAGAGAAGUAUGCGGAAUGCGGGGUGUAGCGGUGAAAUGCAUAGAUAUCGCGCAGAACUCCGAUUGCGAAGGCAGCAUGCCGGCUCCACACUGACGCUGAGGCACGAAAGCGUGGGUAUCGAACAGGAUUAGAUACCCGUGUAGUC
rnacentral:rRNA from 1 species